rnacentral:rRNA from 1 species
AGAGUUUGAUCCUGGCUCAGAUUGAACGCUGGCGGUAUGCUUAACACAUGCAAGUCGAACGGAAACGAUGGUAGCUUGCUACCAGGCGUCGAGUGGCGGACGGGUGAGUAACGCGUAGGAAUCUGCCUGAUAGUGGGGGAUAGCCCAGAGAAAUCUGGAUUAAUACCGCAUAAUCCCUAUGGAGUAAAGGAGCCCUCUUCUUGAAAGGUUUCGCUAUCAGAUGAGCCUGCGUAAGAUUAGCUUGUUGGUGAGGUAAAAGCUCACCAAGGCGACGAUCUUUAGCUGGUCUGAGAGGAUGAUCAGCCACACUGGAACUGAGACACGGUCCAGACUCCUACGGGAGGCAGCAGUGGGGAAUAUUGGACAAUGGGCGCAAGCCUGAUCCAGCAAUACCGCGUGUGUGAAGAAGGCCUGAGGGUUGUAAACCACUUUCAAUU